rnacentral:lncRNA from 1 species
GCCCCAGGGGAACGAAUGUGUGGAAGCUGCAGCGGAGCCUUCUGCUCAAGAGUAAAGGACCCGUCUGAAACCUACAAGAACAGGAUGGAAUGGCUGGCGGAAGACACGUCUGAUGACAUCGAAUGUUUUGCAGAAGAGCCAUGUGACCGGAUCCCCAGUUUGGCAGAGGAGACAUGUGAGAGGACGGAAGGUUUUGGCCGAAAAGACAUCUGGCAGGGAACAGAGAGAACAGGUGUGGCAGAGAGAACGUCUGAGAAGCUUGCACGAUUCGCAGAAGGAGCAUCGGUAGAAGAUUGCCUGUUUGCCCAAAGGAACGUCAAGUUCCAAAGUGAGAAAGAAGAAAGAAAGGCUGUGGAUAGGGAGCCAGCCAGGUUUCCUGCAGAGAUUCACAGGAAGCUUUUAAGCAGGGAAGUCAGAAGAUGA